CACGUAGGCGGACUAUUAAGUCAGGGGUGAAAUCCCGGGGCUCAACCCCGGAACUGCCUUUGAUACUGGUAGUCUCGAGUCCGGAAGAGGUGAGUGGAAUUCCGAGUGUAAAGGUGAAAUUCGUAGAUAUUCGGAGGAACACCAGUGGCGAAGGCGGCUCACUGGUCCGGUACUGACGCUGAGGUGCGAAAGCGUGGGGAGCAAACA
rnacentral:rRNA from 1 species